rnacentral:rRNA from 1 species
GAGCACCUUCGGGUGUGACUGCGUACCUUUUGUAUAAUGGGUCAGCGACUUAAAUUCUUAAGCAAGGUUAACCGUAUAGGGGAGCAGCAGGGAAACCGAGUCUUAACUGGGCGUUAAGUUGCAGGGUAUAGACCAGAAACCCGGUGAUCUAGCAAUGGGCAGGUUGAAGGUUGGGUAACACUAACUGGAGGACCGAACCGACUAAAGUUGAAAAAUUAGCGGAUGACUUGUGGCUGGGGGUGAAAGGCCAAUC